rnacentral:rRNA from 1 species
ACGGAGGAUGCAAGCGUUAUCCGGAUUUAUUGGGUUUAAAGGGUGCGUAGGCGGCACGCCAAGUCAGCGGUGAAAUUUCCGGGCUCAACCCGGAUUGUGCCGUUGAAACUGGCGAGCUAGAGUGCACAAGAGGCAGGCGGAAUGCGUGGUGUAGCGGUGAAAUGCAUAGAUAUCACGCAGAACCCCGAUUGCGAAGGCAGCCUGCUAGGGUGCGACAGACGCUGAGGCACGAAAGCGUGGGUAUCGAACAG